AGUGAACGCUGGCGGUAGGCCUAACACAUGCAAGUCGAACGGCAGCACAGUAAGAGCUUGCUCUUACGGGUGGCGAGUGGCGGACGGGUGAGGAAUACAUCGGAAUCUACUUUUUCGUGGGGGAUAACGUAGGGAAACUUACGCUAAUACCGCAUACGACCUACGGGGGAAAGCAGGGGAUCUUCGGACCUUGCGCGAGUGAAUGAGCCGAUGUCGGAUUAGCUAGUUGGCGGGGUAAAGGCCCACCAAGGCGACGAUCCGUAGCUGGUCUGAGAGGAUGAUCAGCCACACUGGAACUGAGACACGGUCCAGACUCCUACGGGAGGCAGCAGUGGGGAAUAUUGGACAAUGGGCGCAAGCCUGAUCCAGCCAUACCGCGUGGGUGAAGAAGGCCUUCGGGUUGUAAAGCCCUUUUGUUGGGAAAGAAAAGCAGCAGGUUAAUACCCCGCUGUUCUGACGGUACCCAAAGAAUAAGCACCGGCUAACUUCGUG
rnacentral:rRNA from 1 species